AGCCUCUGGUCGAUGGAACA
rnacentral:snRNA from 1 species